rnacentral:tRNA from 1 species
ACCAGGAUGACUGAAUUGCUAUGGUGAUGGACUUAAUAUCCAAUGAUGAAUGGCCAUGUGGGUUUAAACCUCGCUCCCGGUA